AACCUGGUUAUCCUGCCAGUAGUCAUAUGCUUGUCUUAAAGAUUAAGCCAUGCAUGUCUAAGUAUAAAUCGUAUACAGUGAAACUGUGAAUGGCUCAUUAAAACAGUUAUAGUUUACUUGAUAAUCGAAUUUUAUAUGGAUAACCGUAGUAAUUCUAGAGCUAAUACAUGCUGUUUAACCUGACUUUAAGGAAAGGUUGUAUUUAUUAGAUAUUAAACCAGCAGCUUCGGCUUCUGUGAUGAUUCAUAAUAACUGAUCGGAGAGAAGCUAGUCUUCUCUAAAUCAUUCAAGUUUCUGCCCUAUCACAUUGAUGGUAGUGUCUUGGACUACCAUGUGGAUCACGGGUACGAGGAAUUAGGGUUUGAUAUCGGAGAGGGAGCCUGAGAAACGGCUACCACUUCUAAGGAAGGCAGCAGGCGCGUAAAUUACCCAAUCUCAAUUCGAGGAGGUAGUGACAAGAAAUAAUAACUCGGGUAGUAUCUACUAUUACGAGAUUAAAAUGAGAACAAUGUAGACAUCUUAUCGAGGAACAAUGAGAGGACAAGUCUGGUGCCAGCACCCGCGGUAAUUCCAGCUCUUAUAGUGUAUAUUAAAGUUGUUGCAGUUAAAAAGCUCGUAGUCGAUCUUCUAGUGCCCGCUGCCACGGCUCACUGCCGUGGUAGUCGAGUGCUAUCUGUUCGAGAACUUCAUCUACCUUAACUGGUCGAUGAUGCCUGAUCGAACUCUUUCCUGAGAAAAAAUUAGAGUGUUCAAAGCAGGCUAUUGCCCUGAAUAUUACAGCUUGGAAUAAUAGAAUAAGACUGAAGUCUCUUUUGUUGGUUAUGAACUUUAGUAAUGGUUAAUAGAAACAGUCGGGGGUAUUAGUAUUUAAUUGUCAGAGGUGAAAUUCUAUGAUUUAUUAAAGACUAACUUAUGCGAAAGCAUUUGCCAAGGAUGUUUUCAAUUGAUCAAGAACGAAAGUUAGGGGAUCAAAGACGAUCAGAUACCGUCCUAGUCUUAACUAUAAACGAUUCCGACUAUGGAUCGGGAGGGUCUUUCAAGCCUUCUCGGCACAUUAUGAGAAAUCAAAGUCUUUGGGUUCCGGGGGAAGUAUGGUCACAAGGCUGAAACUUAAAGGAAUUGACGGAAGGGCACACCAGUUGUGGAUUUUGCGGCUUAAUUUGACUCAACACGGGGAAACUUACUAGGGCAAGACUAAGGUUGGAUUGACAGAAUGAGAGCUCUUUCUUGAUUCUUAGGGUGGUGGUGCAUGGCCGUUCUUAGUUGGUGGAGUGAUUUGUCUGGUUAAUUCCGUUAACGAACGAGACCUUAACCUGCUAAACUAGGAGCCGGAUUACUCAUCUGGUUUCCUUCUUAGAGGGACUAAGUGUUCAAGCACAUGGAAGUUUGAGGCAAUAACAGGUCUGUGAUGCCCCUAGACGUCCUAGGCCGCACGCGCAAUACAAUGACACGUUCAACAAGUUAUUUUCCUGGCUCUGACGAGUUCGGGUAAUCUACAGUACGUGUCGUGCUUCGGGAUAGUCCUUUGCAAUUAUAGGACUUAAACUAGGAAUAACUAGUAUAGGUAAGUCAUCAGCUUGCCUAGAUUGCGUCCCUGCCCUUUGUACACACCGCCCGUCGCUCCUACCGAUUUUGGGUGAUUAGGUGAACCUUCUGGAUUAGAGCUGUCUUCAAGGCAGUUUUGAGAAGUUAAGUAAAUCAUUAUCACCUAGAGGAAGGAGAAGUCGUAACAAGGUUUCCGUAGGUGAACCUGCAGAAGGAUCAA
rnacentral:rRNA from 1 species